rnacentral:rRNA from 1 species
CCUACGGGUGGCUGCAGUGGGGAAUAUUGGACAAUGGGGGGAACCCUGAUCCAGCCAUGCCGCGUGUGUGAAGAAGGCCCUCGGGUUGUAAAGCACUUUCAGUGAGGAAGAACGCCUGGUGGUUAAUACCCAUCAGGAAAGACAUCACUCACAGAAGAAGCACCGGCUAACUCCGUGCCAGCAGCCGCGGUAAUACGGAGGUUGCGAGCGUUAAUCGGAAUUACUGGGCGUAAAGCGCGCGUAGGUGGCUUGAUAAGCCGGUUGUGAAAGCCCCGGGCUCAACCUGGGAACGGCAUCCGGAACUGUCAAGCUAGAGUGCAGGAGAGGAAGGUAGAAUUCCCGGUGUAGCGGUGAAAUGCGUAGAGAUCGGGAGGAAUACCAGUGGCGAAGGCGGCCUUCUGGACUGACACUGACACUGAGGUGCGAAAGCGUGGGUAGCAAACAGGAUUAGAUACCCCUGUAGUC